GACGAACGCUGGCGGCGUGCCUAACACAUGCAAGUCGAGCGAGUGAAUCUCCUUCGGGAGUGAAGCUAGCGGCGGACGGGUGAGUAACACGUGGGCAACCUGCCUCAUAGAGGGGAAUAGCCUUUCGAAAGGAAGAUUAAUACCGCAUAAGAUUGUAGCUUCGCAUGAAGUAGCAAUUAAAGGAGCAAUCCGCUAUGAGAUGGGCCCGCGGCGCAUUUGCUAGUUGGUGAGGUAACGGCUCAACAAGGCGACGAUGCGUAGCCGACCUGAGAGUGUGAUCGGCCACAAUGGGACUGAGACACGGCCCAGACUCCUACGGGGGGCAGCAGUGGGGAAUAUUGCACAAUGGGGGAAACCCUGAUGCAGCAACGCCGCGUGAGUGAUGACGGCCUUCGGGUUGUAAAGCUCUGUCUUCAGGGACGAUAAUGACGGUACCUGAGGAGGAAGCCACGGCUAACUACGUGCCAGCCGCCGCCGUAA
rnacentral:rRNA from 1 species